GCCAGCAUGGUGUAGUGGUUUGAGCAUUGCACUAGGACUCAGGAGACCAGGGUUUGAAUCCCUGCUCAGACA